UACGGGGGGAGCAAGCGUUGUUCGGAUUUACUGGGCGUAAAGGGCGCGUAGGCGGCCACCGCAAGUCGACUGUGAAAUCUCCGGGCUUAACCCGGAAAGGUCAGCCGAUACUGCGGGGCUAGAGUGCAGAAGGGGCAACUGGAAUUCUCGGUGUAGCGGUGAAAUUCGUAGAUAUUGGGAAGAACACCGGUGGCGAAGGCGGCGACCUGGUCCUUGACUGACGCUGAGGCGCGAAAGCGUGGGGAGCAAACAGG
rnacentral:rRNA from 1 species